rnacentral:rRNA from 1 species
AUUGAACGCUGGCGGCAGGCCUAACACAUGCAAGUCGAGCGGAUGAAGGGAGCUUGCUCCUGGAUUCAGCGGCGGACGGGUGAGUAAUGCCUAGGAAUCUGCCUGGUAGUGGGGGAUAACGUCCGGAAACGGGCGCUAAUACCGCAUACGUCCUGAGGGAGAAAAUGGGGGAUCUUCGGACCUCACGCUAUCAGAUGAGCCUAGGUCGGAUUAGCUAGUUGGUGGGGUAAAGGCCUACCAAGGCGACGAUCCGUAACUGGUCUGAGAGGAUGAUCAGUCACACUGGAACUGAGACACGGUCCAGACUCCUACGGGAGGCAGCAGUGGGGAAUAUUGGACAAUGGGCGAAAGCCUGAUCCAGCCAUGCCGCGUGUGUGAAGAAGGUCUUCGGAUUGUAAAGCUCUUUAAGUUGGGAGGAAGGGCAGUAAGUUAAUACCUUGCUGUUUUGACGUUACCAACAGAAUAAGCACCGGCUAACUUCGUG